AUAUGAGGCAGACUUAACUGUGCCUGUUGUAUCCUUUAUUUCUUUUUUUUAUUCAACAACAAUAUUGCACACGCUAUUCACAAUGACUCCACUGACACAGCUAUCUCAGUGAAGGUCCCCGUUUCAUUAGUACCAGAAGUUAAGGAAUCGUCAGAUAGAUAAACUGCAAUUUGUUAGUCGUUUACGAAAAUAUUGAUAUAACAUCAAUUUAAAAUAAUGACAUUACUGUAUUGAUAUCAUCUGGCGUAUAAUAGUUAUCAAAGGUACCAGGAUUAUAAUUUGUAUCAAAAUGCCAGACGCGCGUUUCGUCUACAUAAGACUCAUCAGUGACGCUCAGAUCAAAAUAGGUAGAAAGCCAAACAAGUAUAAAAGUUGAAGAGCAUUGACGACCCAAAAUUCCAAAAAGUUGUGCCAAAUAUGGCUAAGGUAAUCUAUGCAUGGGAUAAGAAAAUCCUUAGUAUUUCGAAUAAUUUAUACUUUUAUACUUUUAAAAAAGAGGGACGAAAGAUACCAGAGGGACAUUCAAACUCAUAAAUCGAAAAUAAACUGACAACGCCAUGGCUAAAAAAGAAAAAGACAAACAGACAAACAAUAGAACACAAAACACAACAUAGAAAACUAAAGACUUAGCAACACGAACCCCACCAAAAACUGGGGUGAUCUCAGGUGCUCCGGAAGGGUAAGCAGAUCCUUUAACAAGCUCGAGAUUAUCGGAAUUUCAUAGCUCGUCCGAGAUUGGGAAGGUUUAUAACCUAUUAUUAAUUUGUAUGUGUUUCCAGUUGAAGGUUGUUUAUAAUAUAUUUUGGAAUAGAUUGUAUAUUAGCUUUAUCUAUAUUAUUAUGCAGGUAAGUCAGUUAUAAUUAGAAAGAUUGACCGUCAUACUGUAACCGAAAGCAGUUGUGUUGUGUUGUGUGUUGUUGUACAGUAUAUACACUGUGCCAGAUUAUAUAAAUAUUGCAAUGUACGUGUAAGUUAAAUAAAAAAUAAUAAAUCAUUCAAUACACAAAGUUGACAUUACAAACAAGUCAUGUAAUUCAAAUACUCCUAAAUAUCUUUUCCAAUAUACCUUUUCUUUCAGUGUUACUAUAUUUGUGUUGUAGAAUUGGCCCAUUUCUAAACUCUGGUUUGAAACAAAAAAAUACUUUGAUAUUUUUGUUCAUAAAAAAGGGUUUUGGUUCUCUCCGGGUACUCCGACGUCCUCCACCAAUAAACAUCUGAUGUCGUGAUAUAAAUAAACGUGGAUGAGUGGAGUUAAACAAUAAAAAUAUAUCAAAUAAAUUUCUAAUUAGCAAAGGAAAAUAGCAUAUCAGCAAUGCUAUUGGUAAAUAAUAUCAAAAAGUACAUUUGUUUAUAAAAAAACUUUGAAAUACUAAAUAUUUUCGGAAACAGGAAUAUAUUUGUAUUUGGUAUUUGGAAUUUUGGGUACUGAAUGCACUUUAACUUUGUUUUAUUCGAGCGUCAUUGAUGAGUCUUUUGUAGACGAAACGUACGUCUAGCGUACCCAAUUAUAAGCAUUGUAUCUUUUAUGACAUUGUUGUCAUGUGCAAUAACACCAUUAUGUGUGUAUAUAUUACAUUGCAUUCAUAGGUUGAUAGUAGCACUAGGCUGGUUUUUUAUAGAACGAUUCCACCAGCUGUCUCAACAGAGGUUGCAGUUUUACAAAUUAUGUCACAUAUGAAUGACAUAUUAUAGCAAUGAAUAUGAAUCGUCUGUGAAAAAUGAAAUGGUUCAACAAGAAUGAAUUCCCAGAUGCACAGAAGAGGAAUGGAACUUAAUGGAAAAUAUUCGUUUUUACCCACUUGGAUACUAUCCGUGACAAAAAUUCAGCCAAGAUUUGCAUCGUUAAACAAAUUGUGGAUUAUAUUGUUGAAUUUUAGUAAAUACGAUACUAUAUUUUACACGAUGGAAUUACGACUCGCAAAUAAAAGCUGUUUGUUAAUAAUGAAAUAUUUAGUGUUCAUUGUAUUACUAUGAUCCCAAUUUAAAAAAAUCAAGUAUCAGUCGUUUUAGUAAGAUUUCUUCUUCAUUCAAUAUCGCGUUAUGUCCUUCAGAAUUAUUCCCAUGGGUGAACACUUUUUAAGAAAGUGCCCAUGGAAAUAUCCUAAGAGCAAAACGUCCGGAUGAAUGAAGACGAACAAUAGAAAAUAACUCUCUAUUCCUGAAAAAUAAUGGAGAGUUAAUGGAAAAAAUCACAGUUGUAUUUUAAACAAGGGUAUCACCAUCCCAGUAUUCCUUAUUCCUGUGCUGACAUGAAAUAUCAUUCAUGCAGUCAUUUGUCAUUAAAUUUUCGCAAGAAAUACGGCUAAGAUCAUUCGAGAAACCAAGUUUCUCUAACCUAAUACAGAUGGCCCAAACAAGAUUUGGCACAAAUAUUUGGAAAUUUUGUGUUUUAGUGAUGUUUAACUUCGUGAUUGAUUUAGCGUUCCAACCAACCGAGCAUCACAGAAAAGUCUAUCUUAUGUAUAUGAGUUUAAAUACAUUACUGAUUGGGAAAAUAUCAAUUAAUCAUGUAAUUUGAAUAAAGCGUAUUUUCUAAUACACCCCUUCCUUAAGUUCCAUUGUUAUGUUUUCUGUAAUAUCUUAAAACAGUGAUCAUAAUAUUCCCGACAAAUAAUGCGUUU